rnacentral:sRNA from 1 species
CCAAUUUAUUUAAUGGGAGGGUGAGAACCCUCGCGGGUUCGACAAAUUAGUCGGGAGCAAAUUUGAACCGCGCGUUGCGCGGGCCCGGAGGGCGAAGUACAGAUACAUACGCAGUAAUCCCUCCCUCCGCCA